CCUACGGGAGGCAGCAGCUAACAAUAUUCCGCAAUGGACGAAAGUCUGACGGAGCGACGCCGCGUGGAUGAUGAAGGCCGAAAGGUUGUAAACGUCCUUUUGCUGGGGAAGAAUAAGUGUGGCGAGGCGA
rnacentral:rRNA from 1 species